GUGGGCUCGUUGCAACAACAACCGAAUCUCCCAGUUAUUUCUUUAAAAGGCUCACAUGAAACACUGGAUGCAAAUGCGAAUCCUUCGGGAAAAUAAAUUACGUCGAUAUGGCUAUAGUUUCAGGCAACCCUCCUAUGAAAUCCAUUGUGAUCACCUCCCAGGUUGAGUAGGAACAUGAAGAGGUUGCAAGAGACCAGGUGAAUUGGGCUACUCUAAUUGGGCAUGUUCCAUUAAUUCCAUCCAGAUGUGGCUUUCUUCUCCUCCUACUAUGACAUAUAUGUUUAUUUCUUGAGGAUUUUUUCUUUUCAGGAAGAGUGGACGGACAAAAUCAAGGAAGCAGGUGGUAUAGUUCAUGGCAAGAUCAAGAAUGAUAUGUGAUUCCCAUACUGUAUUUUGAUAUAAAUGCUUUUGUUGAUUGGGAUGUACUAAAGAAGUAAUGUUACAUAUACAAAUUGCUUGGUUUUUAGUAGGAAAAUCAAUGGUGUAAAAAUUAAUGGUUAUUUAGAAGAUGCUGAAAUGUAAGGAAAAGAAAGAAAAGAGGAAAAUGGGGGAGGGAUUUAUUAAAAAAACAUUUUAUAAAGUCAAAAGUAUGGUCAAUGUGGUUGUAAAAUACCACAUCAGUAUUCUGUUAUUUUCAAUAACGGUUUUUAACGACAAGUGAUGGAUUUAUAAUGUAUCGAUAACGUUAGU